rnacentral:ncRNA from 1 species
UAAAAUUUUUAUGUUUUAUUUAAUUUAUUAUAAAUUUAUUUUACAUAUAAAUUUUAGUAUAAAAUUUUAAUUAUUUAAAUAAUAAUUAAUAUAAAAUUGUAGUAAUUAAAAUUAAAAAUUUAAGAAAUUAAGAUUUAGUAAUAUAAAAAUUAAUAACUAAUUUUGUGCCAGCAGUUGCGGUUACACAAAAAUUAAAAUAAAUUUUUUCAGUAUAUAAUAAAUAAAAAUUAAUUAAAAUCAAUAUUAAAUUAUUAAGUGAAAUUUUAAUUUAAUUAAAUUUUAAAAUAAUUUUAUGAUUUAGUAAAUUUAAUAAUAAACUAGGAUUAGAUACCCUAUUAUUAAAAAUUUAAUUAAUAAUACUAAAAUAGUAGAUAAAAAAUAUUGAAACUUAAAUAAUAUGGCGGUAUUUUAGUUCAUUUAGAGGAAUCUGUCUAAUAAUUGAUAAUCCACGAAUAAAUUUACUUAAUUUAAGAUUUUAUAUAUCGUUGUUAAAAAAAUAUUUUAAAAUAAAAAUAAUAUUUAAAAAUUUUAAAAAAAAAUUAAUUCAGAUCAAGAUGUAGAAUAUAAUUAAGAAUAUGAUGGAUUACAAUAAAAUAAUUUAAACGAAUAAUUUUAUUUUAAAAUAAAAUUGAAGGUGGAUUUAAAUGUAAUUUUAAUUAAUUUAUUAAAAUGAUUAAAAAUUGAAAUAUGUACAUAUUGCCCGUCACUUUCAUUUAAAAAUUGGAAUAAGUCGUAACAAAGUAGAGGUACUGGAAAGUGUUUCUAGAAUAAA